rnacentral:rRNA from 7 species
AAAUUGAAGAGUUUGAUCAUGGCUCAGAUUGAACGCUGGCGGCAGGCCUAACACAUGCAAGUCGAACGGUAACAGGAAGCAGCUUGCUGCUUCGCUGACGAGUGGCGGACGGGUGAGUAAUGUCUGGGAAACUGCCUGAUGGAGGGGGAUAACUACUGGAAACGGUGGCUAAUACCGCAUAAUGUCGCAAGACCAAAGAGGGGGACCUUCGGGCCUCUUGCCAUCAGAUGUGCCCAGAUGGGAUUAGCUUGUUGGUGAGGUAACGGCUCACCAAGGCGACGAUCCCUAGCUGGUCUGAGAGGAUGACCAGCCACACUGGAACUGAGACACGGUCCAGACUCCUACGGGAGGCAGCAGUGGGGAAUAUUGCACAAUGGGCGCAAGCCUGAUGCAGCCAUGCCGCGUGUAUGAAGAAGGCCUUCGGGUUGUAAAGUACUUUCAGCGGGGAGGAAGGUGUUGUGGUUAAUAACC